rnacentral:rRNA from 1 species
GAUGUCCGUUAGGGCUACCAUGCAAGUCGCACGGCAGCACAGGAGAGCUUGCUCCUUGGGUGGCGAGUGGCGGACGGGUGAGGAAUACAUCGGAAUCUACUUUUUCGUGGGGGAUAACGUAGGGAAACUUACGCUAAUACCGCAUACGACCUACGGGUGAAAGCAGGGGACCUUCGGGCCUUGCGCGAUUGAAUGAGCCGAUGUCGGAUUAGCUAGUUGGCGGGGUAAAGGCCCACCAAGGCGACGAUCCGUAGCUGGUCUGAGAGGAUGAUCAGCCACACUGGAACUGAGACACGGUCCAGACUCCUACGGGAGGCAGCAGUGGGGAAUAUUGGACAAUGGGCGCAAGCCUGAUCCAGCCAUACCGCGUGGGUGAAGAAGGCCUUCGGGUUGUAAAGCCCUUUUGUUGGGAAAGAAAUCCAGCUGGCUAAUACCCGGUUGGGAUGACGGUACCCAAAGAAUAAGCACCGGCUAACUUCGUGCCAGCAGCCGCGGUAAUACGAAGGGUGCGAGCGUUACUCGGAAUUACUGGGCGUAAAGCGUGCGUAGGUGGUCGCUUAAGUCCGUUGUGAAAGCCCUGGGCUCAACCUGGGAACUGCAGUGGAUACUGGGCGACUAGAGUGUGGUAGAGGGUAGCGGAAUUCCUGGUGUAGCAGUGAAAUGCGUAGAGAUCAGGAGGAACAUCCAUGGGGAAGGCAGCUACCUGGACCACACUGACACUGAGGCACGAAAGCGUGGGGAGCAACAGGAUUAGAUACCCUGGGAGUCCACGCCCUAAACGAUGCGAACUGGAUGUUGUGUGCAAUUUGGCACGCAUUAUCGAAGCUAACGCGUUAAUUCGCCGCCUGGGAGUACGGUCGCAAGACUGAACUCAAAGAAUUGACGGGGCCCGCACAGCGGGGGAGAUGUGUUUUAUUCGAGUCACGCGAAGAACUUUACUGGGCUUGAAAUGUCUAAACUUUCCGAGAGGGAUGGGGCCUUCGGAAAUCUAAAACG